rnacentral:rRNA from 1 species
AGUGGGGAAUAUUGCGCAAUGGGCGAAAGCCUGACGCAGCGACGCCGCGUGAGGGACGAAGGUCUUCGGAUUGUAAACCUCUUUCAGCAGGGAUGAAGCGAAAGUGACAGUACCUGCAGAAGAAGCACCGGCUAACUACGUGCCAGCAGCCGCGGUAAUACGUAGGGUGCAAGCGUUGUCCGGAUUUAUUGGGCGUAAAGAGCUCGUAGGCGGUCUGUCGCGUCGGAUGUGAAAACCCAAUGGCUUAACCUUGGGCCUGCAUUCGAUACGGGCAGACUAGAGUGUGGUAGGGGAAACUGGAACUCCUGGUGUAGCGGUGGAAUGCGCAGAUAUCAGGAAGAACACCGAUGGCGAAGGCAGGUUUCUGGGCCAUAACUGACGCUGAGGAGCGAAAGCGUGGGGAGCGAA